UCUCGAUAGCGUAAGAGUUAACUCAAAUUUGUAUGGAGUUGGAACGUUUGCCUACGUUUGUCAUUAGGGACGCUGUUCCAACUGCACGCAAAUUUUAGUUAACUUUUACGCUAUCGA
rnacentral:pre_miRNA from 9 species